AUUGAACGCUGGCGGCAUGCCUUACACAUGCAAGUCGAACGGUAACAGGUCUUCGGAUGCUGACGAGUGGCGAACGGGUGAGUAAUACAUCGGAACGUGCCCGAUCGUGGGGGAUAACGCAGCGAAAGCUGUGCUAAUACCGCAUACGAUCUACGGAUGAAAGCGGGGGACUCGCAAGGGCCUCGCGCGGACGGAGCGGCCGAUGGCAGAUUAGGUAGUUGGUGGGAUAAAAGCUUACCAAGCCGACGAUCUGUAGCUGGUCUGAGAGGACGACCAGCCACACUGGGACUGAGACACGGCCCAGACUCCUACGGGAGGCAGCAGUGGGGAAUUUUGGACAAUGGGCGCAAGCCUGAUCCAGCCAUGCCGCGUGCAGGAUGAAGGCCUUCGGGUUGUAAACUGCUUUGUACGGAACGAAAAGACUCUCUCUAAUACAGGGGUGAAUGACGGUACCGUAAGAAUAAGCACCGGCUAACUACGUGCCAGC
rnacentral:rRNA from 1 species